CCUACGGGAGGCAGCAGUGGGGAAUAUUGGGCAAUGGGCGCAAGCCUGACCCAGCAACGCCGCGUGAAGGAAGAAGGCUUUCGGGUUGUAAACUUCUUUUAAGAGGGAAGAGCAGAAGACGGUACCUCUUGAAUAAGCCCGGCCAACUAAGUGCCAAACGCCCAGGAAAAUCGGAGGUGGCAAGCGUUGGCCGGAUUUACUGGGUGUAAAGGGCGUGCAGCCGGGAAGACAAGUCAGAUGUGAAAUCCCGCGGCUCAACCGCGGAACUGCAUUUGAAACGGGUUUUCUUGAGUACCGGAGAGGUCAUCGGAAUUCCUUGUGUAGCGGUGAAAUGCGUAGAUAUAAGGAAGAACACCAGUGGCGAAGGCGGAUGACUGGACGGCAACUGACGGUGAGGCGCGAAAGCGUGGGGAGCAAACAGGAUUAGAUACCCCAGUAGUC
rnacentral:rRNA from 1 species